GGGAGGUCGGCGGUGACUGGCGACGCCGGCCUGACUGCGGAGGCGGCGGGGCCGGGCUCCAGGACCCGCGGUGCGGUAAAGAGGAGGCGCCGGGCCGGGACGACGGUGCCCCCGCCUCCCGCCGGUUCCCCCGCCGCCGCCGCCGCGUCACGAGGCACACAGUCGCGCUGCGAAUCCGCCUUCGGCCGGACGGUAGUCCUCCCAGGAGGGAGACGAGGAGCCCCCGAGGAAACCGAGCCCGCGGGGCGGCAGGGGCGGGGGAGCGACAGGAUGUCCGGUUUGCGACCUAAGCGCCAGAGCAUGCAGUGCCGCGCGGUGAGCCCUGCUGCUACGUGCAAUGACAAAAAGAAGCCAGAGGUCAUUAAAAGCCAUCCUAUAUAGCACAGAAAGCAGAACUGCAGGCUCAGGAAAAAGAACAUAAUAUCAUCUGUGGCUAUUAUGGAUGGCUUACUGUGGACAAGCCAUGGCCCUGAGCCUGGUGAAAACAGGGAGGAGACACCCUAGUGGCAGCUGUUCAGGAAGGAGGGACGUGCAAUGUUGCAGCUCUGGGGAGGUAAACAGCAGCUCCUGCCCUUCGCUGGAGAAACGUAUGCUCUCUAGGCUCAAUGUGGGGCUUGAACUCAGGACCCUGAGAUCAAGAGUCAUAUACUCUUCUGACUGAGCCCACCAGGGAGCGUCUCUGGAAGGCUUGUUACAGCCCAGGCACUGCUCUGAGAGCCUCUUACCAUGACCCCCAUCUUGCGUGUUAGGAAACUGUAGCGUAGAAAGGAGAACACUGACACACGACCGGACAGUGAAACCACGCAGAGGGAAGCGCUGUCGCAAACACCAGCAGUUGGGCUGAGUGUGUGUAGUGUGUGAAGGAAAGGACUCCCCACCCACGGGGAGGAGAGGAUUGCCAGCUAGCUCCACAGCUGAAGUGAUCAACAAGGAAUGGAGCCCUUGAUAUUUAGCCGGGUGCAUCACAGCCCAGAACAAGAGUCAUUUCUGAGCCACUCCGAGAACCAGAGCUCUGAACUACUUGGAUCCUGCCCAUCCAUGUAGUUGGCAGAGAUUCGUAAGGUGGAAGUCGUGCUUGCACUGCCUCCGCGAUGCUACCGCGGGUUUCUGUUUCCCAGUCCCCUGCCCCAGAACAAAACUGCUUUAUGAUUUCGGUGGCUUUCCAGUGGCUAUAGGACCAUCUGCAUGGGCGGCCUCAGUCUGUUGGGCUGUUCUCAAAGGAGUCCUUGACUGUUUCUUCAGUCCUCCCACUGGUCCUCGAAGCCAUAACCAAACCUGUGCUAAAUCCCGUUCUGAUUUAACUAGCUAAAGUGAAUUCUGUUUCCAGCAAGCGAGCUCUGACCAUACAAAGUUUGGAAUUUAGACGUGGGCUGCUGCCCUAAAAGAUAUUAACGGACACUUCCUUGAUUUAGCAGUCCAAGCAGCUGGUGACAAGGGCAGGUCUAACAGUGUGGGAGGCUGGAGACCCUCGUCAUUGGGCGUCCGAGUAUUUGAUAGAUGGUCACCUACAGGGCCCUGCGGGGCAGAUUGCAUAUUGCGGGAGCCUCUAGUGGCAGGUUCAAGGGUGGACAACUUCAUAAUGCUGUAGGCUGGUUGCUUCUGCUACUUUCAGCGAAGUUUUACCAGAGAAAGAUGAACUACAUGUACAUCUGCAAAAAUAAAUGAAAAGAAUGUGUCUGUUAAGGAAAGGACAGCAAUCUAAAGCUCCAGCAGAGUAUCUCACCUGCGGCAGGGAAGCCAAAAUAUUUGUGACCCUAAUAAUUUGGUGCCUUGCAGUGUUGAAAAAGCCAGUUGUGUCUGUACUUUCUCACUUAAGAAUUAUAAGAGUUUGCUCUGGGCAGCCAUGGUGGCGCAGCGGUUUGGUGCCGCCUGCAGCCUGGGGUGUGAUCCUGGAGACCUGGGAUCGAGUCCCAAUCCGGCUCCCUGCAUGGAGCCUGCUUCUCCCCCUCCCUCUGCCUGUGUCUCUGCCUCUCUCUGUGUGUCUAUGAAUAAAUAAAUAAAAUCUUUAAAAAAAAAAAAAAGUUUGCUCUGAAGGAGUGAGCACUGUCGCCCCAACUAUUUACAAGCACCUCCCAAAAAAGCAUUGGGAGCUGGACGUGAGAACCGGCCCAGCAGCGUAGAGGAGGCUGGGGUGUUGCCCUCCCCCGCAGGAGCCUCGUUUCAGCACAUGGUGGUGGCCACCUGCACUAAUUUGCUAGGGCUGCUCUCACAAAGUAGUGCAAACGGAGUGGCUUGAUCAGAAUUUGUUGUCUUACAUUUUAGAGGCUAGAAGUUCAAGGUCAAGGCAUCAGCCGGGUUGGUUUCUUCUGAGAGCAGUAAGGAAAAAUCUGUUCCAUGGCUCUCCCCUAGCUUCUGGUGCUUUACUGGCAACCUCUGGCAUUCCCUGGCUUGUGGAUGCAUCACCGAGAUCUCUACCUUCCUCUUCACGUGACCUUCUCCAUGUAUCCACGUCUGUGUCCAAAUGUCCCCUUUUUACCAGACCAGUCAUCCUGAACCAGGGCUCACACCCUAAUGAUGUCCUUUUAACUUGUCUCCAAAUUGAUUGUCUCCAAAUAAGGUCACAUUCUGACGUACUGGGGGAUCAAGAAUCAAGCAUGUCUUUUUUGGGAGGGACAUAAUUCAACCGUAAACACCAUUAAGUCAAAAAGAGGCUGUGCACAUCAUAGCAGCUCAUAAUUAAAACUAGGUCUUCAGAUUUUAAUAUCUAUUUAAAUUUAAUAUAAUUUAGAUAAUAUAUAAUUAACUUUAAUAUCUUGUAUAUUUGUAUAUACUGCCUAGAUUAGUUCUUUGGGUUCUUGAUGAGUUCUAGAUGUCCCUAUAGCUAUUGGAGAUAUUCUCACACUGGAAGCCUAUCGAGUUGAGGAGGAAGCUCUUUGCCGCAGAAACGGUCACCCUGGCUUGCCAGAGCUUGGCUGUCAGCACAAAGCAAACCUAAGUAGCCAUACCUGCUACCUAGCCUCCUGCCGCAGAAAAAAAAGCAGGAUGUGGAAGUUUUACAGCCUCCAGAAAGGAAGCCUCUCCAAAGGUCAGUUCAGAUGCGGUCACAGAGUCUCCCGGGUAAGGAGGAGCCUCCAAGAGAACAAAGCCAGGGGUCAUGGACACGAGAGAGGAGCCAGAGGCCAACCUGGAAAAUUGCAGCUAAGUCUAGCCAGGGCCGAGGGCCCGGAGACUCCCACCGGGCACUAUUUUUCUGCACUUUCUGUUAUAGCCGUCCUGUUCCUACUCUGCCUCUGGGUGGUGCGCACCUCUGUGCCUGUGUGUGGCUGUCGUUGGACACACGGGGUAACUCACCUGGCACUUCCUGGGUCACUUGUGCACCGAUGGCCGCAUCUGGACUUGUUGGGGAGGACUUGGAAUCGCUCAGAGGCCCUGGCCUUGAACAGGUGCAGUCUCCAAUGAGACUUGGAGGUCUUCCCUCGUAGAUAAGCCACGAAUUACUCUGGGGAAAAGGGCGUUUGCGGGUCUCAGAGAUAAAAACAGAUGGCCCACGGCAGAUGCUAGCCGUCCUCCAGUGCUGCUCUCCCCCUUUCUCUUAAUCUUUGGCGGUGGAACCUGUGAUUUUUUACUGGCGCACAAGAGCCUCCGAAUAAAGGCUAUGUCCAAGCCUCCCGCGCAGCUGUGGCUCAGCUAUGAGGCAGUUCUCGCCAGUCAGGUCUGUGUUGAGCUAUCGGAUGGCGGGAGGCCGUGGAGGAGGCCGUGGAGGAGGCUGAGGAGGCCGGACACAGCGCUGCCUGUGGUAGCACCCCGGGGGAGGCGGCCUUGGCGAGCCUGGUGGAGGCCAAGGGCUUUUACAGCCACAGCCUCCCAAAAGGCAGGUACGUCCUGAAUCUAGAAGAGGCAGCGGGGGCCGCGGUGGCCCCAUUUUCCAGUGUGAGGCGCGAAUCUGUGUUCCGGAGCAAAUUCCUUUUGUAUGUAAACGAGCAGAGAGAUCGUGUUUACUGCAGCUGAACGUGUUCAAUACUGAUUGAAAUUUUAUUUUUCUCAUUUUAUGGAUGAACAGACUAAGGCUUAGGGCCGGGAAUAAGCCAGCAAACCUGCUCUCUGUGGGGAAGGAAGGGCCCCGUUUGUGGCAUUUGCAGCAUCUGUGCUACCGUGGCGAGUGUGAGGCUCGAAGGGUUUAAACACUUGUAGGCAAAAGUCCUGAACGUUGAACAACUGGCUCCCAUUAGCUGCCUCCUGCUCCAAGCCGACGCUACUUGGAGAACGUAACUGUCCCCAGGAACCACAUCAGCAAGUAUUCAAUAAAAAGAUUAAAAAUAUGUGGUACUUAUUCUGCCUGAAAAAUCAUUAUGCCUUGUUGAGAGCAUUUGGGGCUGCACCUCAGUAUUGAACAGAAUUUACAGCACAUGGUAGGUUCCGCGUCUUCAGAGACUUCGCUAGGGAGCUUUGCGGCGGUAGUGGAGAAGGACAGAGUAUCUAAAAGCUUUUGGUAGAAUUUGGAUGGGCAGUCAUUGCCAUUAUUGUUACAUGCACGGGACAAAAGGGAUUUAAACAGCCUGAAACUGUCAAAGUGGCAGAUGGGACUUAAGAAGGGAGGGAAAUAAUUCAUAAAUUGGUAUGUGGAAAGUUGAUGCUCCUUAAUCAAAACUGCAGUUUGGUCUCACGUCACACCUGUCAGAAAGGCUAGACUCAGCAACACAAGAAACACAGGUGUUGGAGACGAUGUGAGAAAGGGGAGCCCUCCUGCACUGUUGGUGGGAACGCAAACGGGCACAGCCACUCUGGAGAACGGUGUGGAGGCUCCUCAAGAAGUUGCAAAUAGAGCCACUGUAGGGUACAGAAAUCACACUACUGGGUGUUUACCCAAAGGAUACAAAAACAGUAAUUCAAAGGGAUACAUGGACCCCUGUGUUCACUGCAGCAUGAUUUACAAUGGCCAAGAUACAGAAGCAGCCCAAGUGUCCAUCGAUUGAU